AGCUUCUUAGCUCAGUCGGUAGAGCAACCGAAUCAUAAUCGGCAGGUCGGUGGUUCGAGUCCACCAGAAGCUACCA
rnacentral:tRNA from 1 species